rnacentral:rRNA from 1 species
UACGUAGGGGGCAAGCGUUGUCCGGAAUCAUUGGGCGUAAAGAGCGUGUAGGCGGCCAGAUAAGUCCGCUGUGAAAUCUCGAGGCUCAACUUCGAGCUGUCGGUGGAAACUGUCUGGCUAGAGUCCGGAAGAGGAGAAUGGAAUUCCUGGUGUAGCGGUGAAAUGCGCAGAUAUCAGGAGGAACACCAAUUGCGAAGGCAGCUCGCUGGGAAGUUAAUGACGCUGAGACGCGAAAGCGUGGGGAGCAAACAGG